rnacentral:rRNA from 1 species
GAUGAACGCUGGCGGCGUGCCUAAUACAUGCAAGUCGAGCGAAUGGAUUAAGAGCUUGCUCUUAUGAAGUUAGCGGCGGACGGGUGAGUAACACGUGGGUAACCUGCCCAUAAGACUGGGAUAACUCCGGGAAACCGGGGCUAAUACCGGAUAACAUUUUGAACCGCAUGGUUCGAAAUUGAAAGGCGGCUUCGGCUGUCACUUAUGGAUGGACCCGCGUCGCAUUAGCUAGUUGGUGAGGUAACGGCUCACCAAGGCAACGAUGCGUAGCCGACAUGAGAGGGGGAUCGGCCACACUGGGACGGAGACACGGCCCAGAAUCCUACGGGAGGCAGCAGUAGGGAAUCUUCCGCAAUGGACGAAAGUCUGACGGAGCAACGCAGCGUGAGUGAUGAAGGCUUUCGGGUCGUAAAACUCUGUUGUUAGGGAAGAACAAGUGCUAGUUGAAUAAGCUGGCACCUUGACGGUACCUAACCAGAAAGCCACGGCUAACUACGUGCCAGCCGCCGCAGUAA